rnacentral:rRNA from 1 species
CCUUACCUGGGCUUAAAUGCAGGCUGCAUUCGGCUGAAAGGCUGAUUCCCUUCGGGGCUGCCUGCAAGGUGCUGCAUGGUUGUCGUCAGCUCGUGCCGUGAGGUGUCGGGUUAAGUCCCAUAACGAGCGCAACCCCUACCGUUAGUUGCCAUCGGGUCAAGCCGGGGACUCUAGCGGGACUGCCACCGUAAGGUGAGAGGAAGGCGGGGAUGACGUCAAAUCAGCACGGCCCUUAUGUCCAGGGCUACACACGUGUUACAAUGGCCGGUACGAAGGGCAGCGACUGCGCGAGCAGGGGCUAAUCCUAAAAGCCGGUCCCAGUUCGGAUUGGAGUCUGCAACCCGACUCCAUGAAGUUGGAUUCGCUAGUAAUCGGAUAUCAGCAACGAUCCGGUGAAUACGUUCCCGGGCCUUGUACACACCGCCCGUCA